UGUGACAGUGGUGAGUGAGUAUGGGACGGCGCGUAAUCGGUUUCGUCCGACCUGCAGGGUGACCUAAACGAGCUAUUCGCAGUCUUGCCUUACAAAUGAGUAUAGAAAUAGACCAGGAAUUGAGAGGAGAAUGCUGUAGCUUCGUAUCGGAAGAACGUGGGGGAUUAAUCAUGUGUUUUUAAAUCUAAAAUGGUGUACAUAGGUCUAAUAGCAGAAGCACGACGUCUUGGAUUUAUUUUGGUUUCCCAUUCGUGAGGUAGAGAUCGAAUGCUCUCGAUGUAACAGUCAGGUCAGCCAAGACGGGUUCAGAGUUGAAGGGACGAACGGACCCAGGACCCAGAAACGGACCCAACUUAUUUCAAGUUUCUACGGGCUGCCGGACAGCUGUCAAAAAAGAUCUCGGUGCGGACUUGGGCCUUUGCCAUCUUCUCGAAACAUAGAAGAAAACUGAGGUGAGUUAAAGGGGUGAAAUUUGAAAUGCCGUUUCGUGUAGCAAAUUCUUUUAAGUGAUUAAUGAUAAUGAUUUACGC